CCUACGGGUGGCUGCAGUAGGGAAUCUUCGGCAAUGGACGAAAGUCUGACCGAGCAACGCCGCGUGAGUGAAGAAGGUUUUCGGAUCGUAAAACUCUGUUGUUAGAGAAGAACAAGGAUGAGAGUAACUGUUCAUCCCUUGACGGUAUCUAACCAGAAAGCCACGGCUAACUACGUGCCAGCAGCCGCGGUAAUACGUAGGUGGCAAGCGUUGUCCGGAUUUAUUGGGCGUAAAGCGAGCGCAGGCGGUUUCUUAAGUCUGAUGUGAAAGCCCCCGGCUCAACCGGGGAGGGUCAUUGGAAACUGGGAGACUUGAGUGCAGAAGAGGAGAGUGGAAUUCCAUGUGUAGCGGUGAAAUGCGUAGAUAUAUGGAGGAACACCAGUGGCGAAGGCGGCUCUCUGGUCUGUAACUGACGCUGAGGCUCGAAAGCGUGGGGAGCAAACAGGAUUAGAUACCCUAGUAGUC
rnacentral:rRNA from 1 species